AUGCGCCAGGUCGGGUCACAUCAAAGGUGUGUAUCUUUUGCCCUUGGUGAAGGUCUUACGCCAAAAGAAGUUCUUGAUCAGGAUCCGGUUUCCCUGUGGACCAUCUGCAAUACGCUUGCUAGAUUCAACUUCAAAGUUCUUCCCUUCCAAACAGGGGAAGAGGCCCUAGAUUCCCUUAAAAGGGGGGUUGCUAAAGAUGAGGAGCUUGAUUUGAUAGUAGCGGAAGUUCAUCCUUGCAAUACAGAGGUGGGCACCUUGCAGCUGUUUCACCACGUCCUGAAUGAACUGGAAGUGCCUCUCAUCUCUAUGUGUGCCUAUGAUGAGGCAGUCUCUGCACGCAUGACCCUUGGAACAUGCUCCAAUGUGGUUAAGCUGUUGGAUACUAAAACCGUAAAUUUUCUGAGGAUGAGAGCACUGCAACACAGGUCUAUUAAAAAUCACAGGUCUGAAACUGAGGAUGAAGAACAAGAUGCGUUGAACGUGAAUGUCUAUUCAGAUAAUCUGGGUCGGUUCAUAUGGAGCAGUGAGCUCCAUGAAAAGUUUUUGCGGGCUGUUGAAGUGCUUGGGGCGUCUGCUACGGCAAGAAAAAUUCACCAGUACAUGAAUGCCAAGGAUUUGAAUUUGACCAUACAGCACAUCGCAAGCCAUCUCCAGGUGGGUGAUCGAUUUAGUUUAUCUGCAACUGCGAAACACCGGUUGCGGGCGCAGAAGUUAUCUCACAAUGAAGAGGUAGCCAGUGCUAAACCCAAUAAUCAUCCGGCAACAACCCAGACGCAUUUCACACAUGGGGUUGCCUCUGCUAUCUGGGACAAGUACCCCGGGAUGGUAUGGCCACAUGUGGAGGGAAGUUCAGCAAGCUCUACUAUGUGGUACAAUUACCCCGGAAAGCCGUGGGGACAAGUAGGGGAGAGUUUGGCCGGAGCACGAGUUUCUCAGACUAAUGCAUGCCCACCUCCAGUUCUGAUACAUGGUACCAAGUCCAUCUGGGACCGUUACGAGGAGAGCCUACAGUACUAUAAUGAGAGCCUGUCAUACAAAUGUGAGGUGCUACCUAUAAGGAGCAAGGCACUUGAUGGAUAUGGACGCAACAUUUCCGUCAACCUGGAGAGAGAGAUCAGUCGUACUGAAUCAGCAGGCAAGAUUGUCAUCAACCUGGAGAGAGAUGACAUGAAUAAAGACACCAUGGACGACGUGCACGCCGCAGUUACUCCGCAGGAAGACAUAAUGGACGAGGUGCAUGCCGCAGCUACUCUGCAGAAAGACGCCAUGAACGAGGUGUACGCCGCAGUUACUCUGCAGAAAGACACCAUGGACGAGGCGCACGCCGCAGUUACUCCGUAUGAAGUGAACGAGGUGCCUGCUGCAAACAUGGGCGCUGAGAAUGCGCAGUCUGAGCCUUUCAGUGACUUGGAUUGGGAAGAGGUGGAGAAAUUCUGGAUGAACCAGAUGGAAGGACAGCAGGAGCAGCAAGGCCUUGAACUAGUGGAUCUGCUCCAGGUAGAUGGCAUUUCACCAGAGGAACUGCUCCAGGAAGACGAAGCCUGGAACCAGGCACUUCAGCCAGCAAAUCCGGCGAAUGUCGUCAACAACGCACCCAUGGCCGAAGAACCCGCCGCUGGAGAUGCCUCGGUUAUAGGCAGUAAGGGUUCCUGUGGAGAAAUCCCCGGGAGAUAUAUGGGAGAGCUGCUGAUGCUCGGACAUAUAUCCAGUGCUUUGCCACCCUGGCUUCUCUCUCACACCACGGCGACCCCUCACCUCUCCGACGGCGCCUCCCCAUCUCUCGUCCCUGCCCACGUACUGGAGAUGGCGCCGCCACACACAGUGGUUCGGGCCUGGUGCAAGUCGUCGCGGUGGGGCAGAAGGGAUGACUGGGUGUUCACGAUGGGGGUGGGGGUGGAGGAGGGUGUGAGGAUAAGGAGGUUAACGAUGGGGAAAGGAACAAUGAGUCACAACGUGGAGGAGGCGACCGAAGAUGGAUGGAUCUGCCGCCGGGCACAGAUCGCCAUUGUCGAUGUCUUCUCCCCUUUCCCAGGUGCUUCGUCGCCGGCGCCCUCCCGGGGGUUCUUUGGCUUGCUCGUCCUCACUGCAUCGGUCCGUCUCCCUCCCCUGCGCCCCCAAGGCCAAGGACCACACAUUUCUCAUUCCAGUUGUCUUUUGGAGAGCUUAUUUUCAUGCCCUUUGGUUUUAAGUUUUAGAAUGGGGGCAACUAGCAAGACCGAUGUGGUGCUCAUGUUUCAGAUUUUUUUACCACAUUGCACCAGAGCCGGCGUCCUUGCCAGCAACUUCUCCCGCAGAUUUUGCUUCAUUCUUGUUUCCAGGUUCUUCAUAUCCAUGGCCUAUUAA
rnacentral:rRNA from 1 species